GCCCAGUUGGCGGAAUUGGUAGACGCGCUAGACUCAAACUCUAGUGCCGCGAGGCGUGCCGGUUCGAUUCCGGCACUGGGUACAA
rnacentral:tRNA from 6 species